rnacentral:rRNA from 1 species
UACGGAGGGGACUAGCGUUGUUCGGAAUUACUGGGCGUAAAGCGCGCGUAGGCGGAUUUGCAAGUCGGGGGUGAAAGCCCGAGGCUCAACCUCGGAACUGCCCUCGAUACUGCAAAUCUCGAGUCCGAGAGAGGUGAGUGGAAUUCCUAGUGUAGAGGUGAAAUUCGUAGAUAUUAGGAAGAACGCCAGUGGCGAAGGCGGCUCGCUGGGACGGUACUGACGCUGAGGCGCGAAAGCGUGGGGAGCAAACAGG